GGUUAAGUAAGUCUGGUCUAUUGUUAAGGGGAAUUUAAAAUCAAAGGGCUUAAACAGUGAGGAGGGGAAUGGGAGCAGCAGGCCUGAUUUGGUUGAAUUCAGAGUUUCAGUUGGUAAAUAAAGAAGAUCCUUUUCCCUGCAAGUGUUACUUUAAAUAUGUGGAUGGAGAUAAGAGUAAAAUGCGUGGCCAAGGGAGAUGCCUCUCCCCACUGAAAUAUCUAAGUUUUGGACUGUCUGGGAACAGUGGGUCCUUAUCUGCUCUCCUCUAUGUCUGAAUUUCUGGGCAGAGUGGAUAUUUGUGGUGUGCCUGUGAACCAGCCCAAGUUCGAUGCUUUGGUGCUGCUUGCAUGUUGGCGUGGGGCUUGGAAGCUUAGCCACGUGUUUGAGCCAUGUUGUGCUGGCGCCAUCAAAGUCUUCUCUACUGUGAACCGGCCGAGCUCAAUCACUUUGCACUACCCUUUUAUCUAGUCGCUGCAGGGCCAGGGCAGUGAAGUCUCUUCUCGUUCUUGAGUUCUAGCGAGAGUGCAUCGUGUGAGUGUUGUGGUUCAUGUUCACGUCGGUGUUUACUCUCCCCGGCCAUCAGUGUCUCAUUGGGAACGCCGCGGUGCCGCCGGUGAACGCCGCUGGGAAUGAUCUCGACAUGGCAGACCUUGUUUGGGGCCGGUUGCGUGCGUGAUCUAGGGUUGGUCUGCUCUAUGGUGAGUCGCUAGUGCCUGCUCCACCGUGGUUGGGAACUCUACUGCGUCGUCGUUCCGGCUUAACACCGUCAGAGUUGGGCGCCGCCGGCACGCGCAGAGGAAGCGCGGGCGCGCGUGGUGCUGGAGCCUAGGGCUGUAAGCGCUAUCUGAGUGGGCCAGUUUUGCCUGGAGUUGGGCUGGCUGGAGCUCCCAAAAUAAAGAGUGAAGAUUUAAGAUAAAGUGGUUGCUGGAGAGGAGUCUACUCCAGUGCCUGUUCAUCAAGUGGAUGGAGCCAUCUAACUGAUCAUCGUGUUAGAAGUAUCUAGAACCUCUUCUCUGCAACAAAGGCAAGCCCCGGUGCAUUUGCCCCUUCCUUGUGUUUUAAAUGCUUUAUCACCUUAAAUGAUGCAUUAGGUGAUAGGAGUUGUGUGAUGAACAAUUGAUGCAUUACCAUUCCUUGGAAUUUGAAUACUAUACCUUGAUCCCUGAUUUAUAAAAAGAA